rnacentral:rRNA from 1 species
ACGGGUGAGUAAUGUCUGGGGAUCUGCCCGAUAGAGGGGGAUAACCACUGGAAACGGUGGCUAAUACCGCAUAACGUCGCAAGACCAAAGAGGGGGACCUUCGGGCCUCUCACUAUCGGAUGAACCCAGAUGGGAUUAGCUAGUAGGCGGGGUAACGGCCCACCUAGGCGACGAUCCCUAGCUGGUCUGAGAGGAUGACCAGCCACACUGGAACUGAGACACGGUCCAGACUCCUACGGGAGGCAGCAGUGGGGAAUAUUGCACAAUGGGCGCAAGCCUGAUGCAGCCAUGCCGCGUGUAUGAAGAAGGCCUUCGGGUUGUAAAGUACUUUCAGCGGGGAGGAAGGCAGUGAGGUUAAUAACCUUACUGAUUGACGUUACCCGCAGAAGAAGCGCCGGCUAACUCCGUGCCAGCAGCCGCGGUAAUACGGAGGGUGCAAGCGUUAAUCGGAAUUACUGGGCGUAAAGCGCACGCAGGCGGUCUGUUAAGUCAGAUGUGAAAUCCCCGGGCUUAACCUGGGAACUGCAUUUGAAACUGGCAGGCUUGAGUCUCGUAGAGGGGGGUAGAAUUCCAGGUGUA